GUGAAGCUAAAAGGCAAUGAAGGAGGUGCACUCACAGUGUCCUUUCUUUUCUGUCUCCUAG
rnacentral:miRNA from 1 species